GAUGAACGCUGGCGGCGUGCCUAAUACAUGCAAGUCGAACGCUGAAGGAGGAGCUUGCUCUUCUGGAUGAGUUGCGAACGGGUGAGUAACGCGUAGGUAACCUGCCUGGUAGCGGGGGAUAACUAUUGGAAACGAUAGCUAAUACCGCAUGACAACAGUUAUUGCAUGAUAACUGUUUAAAAGGGGCAACUGCUCCACUACCAGAUGGACCUGCGUUGUAUUAGCUAGUUGGUGAGGUAACGGCUCACCAAGGCGACGAUACAUAGCCGACCUGAGAGGGUGAUCGGCCACACUGGGACUGAGACACGGCCCAGACUCCUACGGGAGGCAGCAGUAGGGAAUCUUCGGCAAUGGACGGAAGUCUGACCGAGCAACGCCGCGUGAGGGAAGAAGGGUGUCGGAUCGUAAAGCUCUGUUGUAAGAGAAGAACGAGUGUGAGAGUGGAAAGUUCACACUGUGACGGUAUCUGACCAGAAAGGGACGGCUAACUACGUG
rnacentral:rRNA from 1 species